AACGAACGCUGGCGGCAUGCCUAACACAUGCAAGUCGAACGAGACCUUCGGGUCUAGUGGCGCACGGGUGCGUAACGCGUGGGAAUCUGCCCUUGGGUUCGGAAUAACAGUUGGAAACGACUGCUAAUACCGGAUGAUGACGUAAGUCCAAAGAUUUAUCGCCCAAGGAUGAGCCCGCGUAGGAUUAGCUAGUUGGUGAGGUAAAGGCUCACCAAGGCGACGAUCCUUAGCUGGUCUGGGAGGAUGAUCAGCCACACUGGGACUGAGACACGGCCCAGACUCCUACGGGAGGCAGCAGUGGGGAAUAUUGGACAAUGGGCGAAAGCCUGAUCCAGCAAUGCCGCGUGAGUGAUGAAGGCCUUAGGGUUGUAAAGCUCUUUUACCCGGGAUGAUAAUGACAGUACCGGGAGAAUAAGCUCCGGCUAACUCCGUG
rnacentral:rRNA from 1 species